UACGGAAGGCAGCAGUGGGGAAUAUUGCACAAUGGGCGCAAGCCUGAUGCAGCCAUGCCGCGUGUAUGAAGAAGGCCUUCGGGUUGUAAAGUACUUUCAGUCGUGAGGAAGGUGUUAAGGUUAAUAACCUUAGCAAUUGACGUUAGCGACAGAAGAAGCACCGGCUAACUCCGUGCCAGCAGCCGCGGUAAUACGGAGGGUGCGAGCGUUAAUCGGAAUUACUGGGCGUAAAGGGCACGCAGGCGGUUAAUUAAGUUGGAUGUGAAAUCCCCGGGCUUAGCCUGGGAAUGGCAUUCAAGACUGGUUAGCUAGAGUCUUGUAGAGGGGGUAGAAUUCCAUGUGUAGCGGUGAAAUGCGUAGAGAUGUGGAGGAAUACCGGUGGCGAAGGCGGCCCCUGGGACAAAGACUGACGCUCAUGUGCGAAAGCGUGGGGAGCAAACAGGGAUUAGAUACC
rnacentral:rRNA from 1 species